rnacentral:rRNA from 1 species
AAAAUCGUUUAACGAGUAUCAAUUGGAGGGCAAGUCUGGUGCCAGCAGCCGCGGUAAUUCCAGCUCCAAUAGCGUAUAUUAAAGUUGCUGCAGUUAAAAAGCUCGUAGUUGGAUCUGGGGCUUGAGGUCGCUGUCUAUCGUUUCGGCGAUGACGGUGAUGCUCAGCUCUGCUUGCCGGUGACUGUUGCGGUGUUCUUCAGUGAGCGCUGUAGCAGCACGGCACGUUUACUUUGAAAAAAUUAGAGUGCUCAAAGCGUGCUUGUCGCUUGAAUAAUGUUGCAUGGAAUAAUGGAAUAGGACCUCGGUUCUAUUUUGUUGGUUUUCGGAGCUUGAGGUAAUGAUUAAGAGGGACGAACGGGGGCAUUCGUAUUGCGGUGUUAGAGGUGAAAUUCUUGGAUCGCCGCAAGACGGACUACUGCGAAAGCAUUUGCCAAGAACGCUUUCAUUAAUUAAGAACGAAAGUCAGAGGUUCGAAGACGAUCAGACACCGUCCUAGUUCUGACCAUAAACGAUGCCGACCAGCGAUCCGUAGUGGUUGCUUUAUGGACCCUACGGGCAGCCUCCGGGAGACCAAAGUAUUUGGGUUCCGGGGGAAGUAUGGUUGCAAAGCUGAAACUUAAAGGAAUUGACGGAAGGGCACACCAGGAGUGGAGCCUGCGGCUUAAUUUGACCCAACACGGGAAAACUCACCCGGUCCGGACACCGUAAGGAUUGACAGACUGAUAGCUCUUUCUUGAUUCGGUGGAUGGUGGUGCAUGGCCGUUCUUAGUUGGUGGAGUGAUUUGUCUGGUUAAUUCCGAUAACGAACGAGACUCUAGCCUGCUAAGUAGUGUGUCUAUUGUGAUAUGGUAUACACUUCUUAGAGGGACAAGUGGCACUUAGCCACGCGAAAUUGAGCAAUAAGGUCUGUGAUGCCCUUAGAUGUCCGGGGCCGCACGCGCGCUACACUGGAGAAGUCAGCGUGUGUUAUCCAAGUCCGAAAGGAUUGGGUAAUCCGUUGAACCUUCUUCGUGCUUGGGACUGUGGCUUGGAACUAUUCCACAUGAACGAGGAAUUCCUAGUAAGUGCAAGUCAUUAGCUUGCGUUGAUUACGUCCCUGCCCUUUGUACACACCGCCCGUCGCUACUACCGAUUGAAUGGUUUAGCAAGGUCCUCGGAUCGUGGUCGUAGGGGCACGCAAGUGUUUCUGCGAUUUGCGAGAAGACGACCAAACUUGAUCAUUUAGA